CCUACGGGAGGCAGCAGUGGGGAAUAUUGGACAAUGGGGGCAACCCUGAUCCAGCCAUGCCGCGUGUGUGAAGAAGGCCCUCGGGUUGUAAAGCACUUUCAGUGAGGAAGAACGCCUGGUGGUUAAUACCCAUCAGGGAAGACAUCACUCACAGAAGAAGCACCGGCUAACUCCGUGCCAGCAGCCGCGGUAAUACGGAGGGUGCGAGCGUUAAUCGGAAUUACUGGGCGUAAAGCGCGCGUAGGUGGCUUGAUAAGCCGGUUGUGAAAGCCCCGGGCUCAACCUGGGAACGGCAUCCGGAACUGUCAAGCUAGAGUGCAGGAGAGGAAGGUAGAAUUCCCGGUGUAGCGGUGAAAUGCGUAGAGAUCGGGAGGAAUACCAGUGGCGAAGGCGGCCUUCUGGACUGACACUGACACUGAGGUGCGAAAGCGUGGGUAGCAAACAGGAUUAGAUACCCCUGUAGUC
rnacentral:rRNA from 1 species